UAUAGCACAGACUAAAAAUCAGCAUCUGAUUGCUGGCUCUAAGCAGUUUGCAACAGCAGAUUACAAUCUCGGGCACGGAGAUAUUAUUAUAUUUACAGGAAUAUCCCGGUUAUUUUCGCACUAGGUGUGGUGCGAUACAACCCCAGCAACCACCCCCCCUGAAGCAAGUAUAUAUGGCAACAAAAUACCCAAUGUUCCGUUUUCUGGUGGUUGCCAGUUCCCUCUUAGUAAUUUCAGGUUUAUCGGUGAAACGUAAUACGGCCCCCUC
rnacentral:lncRNA from 1 species